CAGGGAAUCUUGCGCAAUGGGCGAAAGCCUGACGCAGCAACGCCGCGUGGGGGAUGAAGGUCUUCGGGUUGUAAACCCCUUUCAGGAGGGAAGAAAUUGACGGUACCUCCAAAAGAAGGACCGGCCAACUACGUGCCAGCAGCCGCGGUAAUACGUAGGGUCCGAGCGUUAUCCGGAAUCAUUGGGCGUAAAGAGCUCGUAGGCGGUUCAGCAAGUCGGCUGUGAAAGUCUGAGGCUCAACCUCAGAAUUGCAGUCGAUACUGCUGUGACUCGAGUCCGGUAGAGGAGAAUGGAAUUCCCGGUGUAGCGGUGAAAUGCGCAGAUAUCGGGAGGAACACCAGUAGCGAAAGGCGGUUCUCUGGGCCGGCACUGACGCUGAGGAGCGAAAGCGUGGGGAGCAAACAGGAUUAGAUACCCUGGUAGUCCACGCCCGUAAAACGUUGGAUACUA
rnacentral:rRNA from 1 species